GUUCAAUUUGGUUUCGGUUUGAUAUUGAACUGUUCAGUUCGGUUUUCGGUUUAUAUUUAUCGAUUUAUAAACGGAUCGGUCCGUAAUGGUUCGGUUCGGUAACGGGCGGUUUCACGGUUCGGUCUGAAAAGUCCCACCCCUAAUCCAGACCAUAAGUUUUUGACAAAUUAUCCGGUCCUCAACUGUCUCGACGCUUGAGCUCAAACUCAAAUACUGACGCUCUCAAACCCUAAUUUUUCAGAUAAUUCAACCUUAAAUUCCGAUUUUGCUCAAUUAUCUUCUUCACUAAACUCCCGUCAUCCUCUCUGAUUCAGAUUGGUUCUUAGUCAGAACGUUUGAUAGCAAAGGGAAAAUGCCUACAGAGAAAAGUCCCAACAAACUUAAAUCAGAAGUUGUUGAUAAGGAUCUAGAUAUAGAUAAAAAUCACAGGCAUCGGCGUCAAGAUGCUUUACUGCUUGAAAUUUCACCGGCUUCUGAAUCCAAGCAGGAUGUCAAAGAUGCAAGUUCCAUGUUGGAGAGCAAGACUAAUGGAAUAAGUGAAAGAACCAUUCAGUCUAAUCCACCAGCAGUCUCCCGUGGAUCUUAUCGUCAGGCAUAUCUAUGAGUUUGAUCACUUGGUGGUUAUUCAGUGUUUGCAAAUCCAUUUACUGGGCUGAACUAGGAGGGUACUUGUUCAUCCAAUGAUUUCAGUGCCCCCGUGUAAGUGUAACUAUAUUAGGCUUGCCUCUUCAUGUCUUGUAACAGCAUGAUGACCGCCGAACUGCCGCCCGAGAUGGCAGCCGCUCUGGACGCAGAUCAACAUCUGAACGUGGAUGGUGGAGCGAUUCCAGGGACGAAGACCGAGCAGCACAUAGAUCAGCACCUUCUAAUCCAAAAGUAAGGGAGGAAAAAGCUCGAGCUCAAGGUGGUGACAACCAUGCCUGGCAACACGAUAAAUUUUUAGAAGCAGAAUCUGAUGCACAUCCACCUACCAAAAAAAAGACGGCCAUUUAGAGAGGAGAAACUUCCUCUGAAGUCUGAGGAUGUAGAUAAUGCUGUUCCUGAACCUAGUAAGUUUGACCAUCCUGCUAGCUCUACUGGUGGUACUGGAAGAUGGGAACACAGAGCUCAUGAUCGUCGCCCUUUGGAAAGAAACGAGCAUGACCGAGGAUAUGUAAAGGAGAGGUCGUUUUCAAACCGAGGACGAGUUGAAAAUACUGGCUUUCCUCCCAGAGGCAGGUUUAAUGGUGCUGAUGAUAAUGGCAAAUUCAGGGGGAGGGAGAAUUUUGGUGGAAGACAAGGGUAUCGUUCAAGUGGUUCCCAGGCUGAGAAGUGGAAGCAUGACUUGUAUGACGAGGCUAAUAGAAGUCCACCCCCUAAAAAGGAGGAAGAUCCGGUAGCGAAGGUGGAAGCAUUACUUUCUUUGUAGAUUGGGCAAGGCUUGGUAGAAUCACUGUUGUUGGUUCUAGAUUGAGGACUUGUUAGUUUGUGUAAUUCUUAUAUGAUUGUCUAAUGUCUAGUGAUUCUAAUUUGGCAAUGUUAAUUGAUCAAGCCUUUUACAGCUUUUGGUGUGCUGGGAGGACUUUGUUUUGUACAUUUGGCAUACAAUUGCCAAUUGUUGUGAUUGAUCCUGGCCGUCCUGCAUUUCUCUAUGCUAUAUUAAGACAACGCUUGAAGCAUGAAUUUGUAACUCCA